AUACGGAGGAUGCGAGCGUUAUCCGGAUUUAUUGGGUUUAAAGGGAGCGUAGGUGGGAUAUUAAGUCAGCUGUGAAAGUUUGGGGCUCAACCUUAAAAUUGCAGUUGAUACUGGUUUCCUUGAGUACGGUACAGGUGGGCGGAAUUCGUGGUGUAGCGGUGAAAUGCUUAGAUAUCACGAAGAACUCCGAUCGCGAAGGCAGCUCACCGGGCCGGAACUGACACUGAUGCUCGAAAGUGCGGGUAUCAAACAGGAUUAGAUACCCUGGUAGUCCACACAGUAAACGAUGAAUACUCGCUGUUUGCGAUACACGGUAAGCGGCCAAGCGAAAGCGUUAAGUAUUCCACCUGGGGAGUACGCCGGCAACGGUGAAACUCAAAUGAAUUGACGGGG
rnacentral:rRNA from 1 species